GUAGGUGGCAAGCGUUGUCCGGAAUUAUUGGGGCGUAAAGCGCGCGCAGGCGGUCCUUUAAGUCUGAUGUGAAAGCCCACGGGCUCAACCGUGGAGGGUCAUUGGAAACUGGGGGACUUGAGUACAGAAGAGGAAAGCGGAAUUCCACGUGUAGCGGUGAAAUGCGUAGAGAUGUGGAGGAACACCAGUGGCGAAGGCGGCUUUCUGGUCUGUAACUGACGCUGAGGCGCGAAAGCGUGGGGAGCAAACAGGAUUAGAUACCCUGGUAGUCCACGCCGUAAACGAUGAGUGCUAAGUGUUAGGGGGUUUCCGCCCCUUAGUGCUGCAGCUAACGCAUUAAGCACUCCGCCUGGGGAGUACGGCCGCAAAGGCUGA
rnacentral:rRNA from 1 species